GACGUAGGAGGCGAGCGUUAUCCGGAUUCACUGGGCGUAAAGCGCAUGUAGGCGGUUGAUUAAGUCCGUUGUUAAAGCCCCUGGCUCAACUGGGGGAGGUCAAUGGAGACUAUUCGACUUGAGGGCAACAGAGGCACAUGGAACUCCCGGUGUAGCGGUGGAAUGCGUAGAGAUCGGGAGGAACACCUGUGGCGAAGGCGGCCCCCUGGUUGGAUACUGACGCUGAUACGCGAAAGCGUGGGGAGCAAACAGG
rnacentral:rRNA from 1 species